ACGGCUCAUUAUAACAGCUAUAAUUUACUUGAUCUUGACUCUUUACAUGGAUAACUGUGGUAAUUCUAGAGCUAAUACAUGCACAAAAGCUCUGACCUUACGGGAGGAGCGCAUUUAUUAGAACAAAACCNAGCGACUUCGGUCGUUUUUUGUUGACUCAGAAUAACUAAGCUGAUCGCAUGGUCUUGUACCGGCGACGUGUCUUUCAAGUAUCUGCCUUAUCAACUUUCGAUGGUAGUAUAUUUGACUACCAUGGUGGUGACGGGUAACGGAGGAUAAGGGUUCGACUCCGGAGAAGGGGCCUGAGAAAUGGCCACUACGUCUAAGGAUGGCAGCAGGCGCGCAAAUUACCCACUCUCAGAAUGAGGAGGUAGUGACGAAAAAUAACGAGACCGUUCUCUACGAGGCCGGUCAUCGGAAUGGGUACAAUUUAAACCCUUUAACGAGUAUCUAUGAGAGGGCAAGUCUGGUGCCAGCAGCCGCGGUAAUUCCAGCUCUCAAAAUGCAUAGAAUUAUUGCUGCGGUUAAAAAGCUCGUAGUUGGAUCUGUGCCAGGGACUCGGUCCAUCUUCGGAUGCGCACUGGGCUCUCGGGCUUUUUGCCGGUUUUCUCGUCGUAGCCUUCACCGGUUGCGGCGGGUGGCUGGCGAUUUUACUUUGAACAAAUCAGAGUGCUUAACACAGGCGUUUUGCUUGAAUGUUCUUGCAUGGAAUAAUAGAAAAGGAUUUCGGUUCUAUUUUAUUGGUUUUAUAGACUGAGAUAAUGGUUAACAGAGACAAACGGGGGCAUUCGUAUCGCUGCGUGAGAGGUGAAAUUCUUGGACCGCAGCGAGACGAACUACAGCGAAAGCAUUUGCCAAGAAUGUCUUCAUUAAUCAAGAACGAAAGUCAGAGGUUCGAAGGCGAUCAGAUACCGCCCUAGUUCUGACCGUAAACGAUGCCAACUAGCGAUCCGCCGGUGGAUAUAUUGCCCUGGUGGGGAGCUUCCCGGAAACGAAAGUCUUCCGGUUCCGGGGGAAGUAUGGUUGCAAAGCUGAAACUUAAAGGAAUUGACGGAAGGGCACCACCAGGAGUGGAGCCUGCGGCUUAAUUUGACUCAACACGGGAAAACUCACCCGGCCCGGACACCGUAAGGAUUGACAGAUUGAUAGCUUUUUCAUGAUUCGGUGGAUGGUGGUGCAUGGCCGUUUCUUA
rnacentral:rRNA from 1 species